rnacentral:rRNA from 1 species
UGGGGAAUUUUGGACAAUGGGCGAAAGCCUGAUCCAGCAAUGCCGCGUGUGUGAAGAAGGCCUUCGGGUUGUAAAGCACUUUUGUCCGGAAAGAAAUCCUUGGCUCUAAUACAGUCGGGGGAUGACGGUACCGGAAGAAUAAGCACCGGCUAACUACGUGCCAGCAGCCGCGGUAAUACGUAGGGUGCAAGCGUUAAUCGGAAUUACUGGGCGUAAAGCGUGCGCAGGCGGUUUGCUAAGACCGAUGUGAAAUCCCCGGGCUCAACCUGGGAACUGCAUUGGUGACUGGCAGGCUAGAGUAUGGCAGAGGGGGGUAGAAUUCCACGUGUAGCAGUGAAAUGCGUAGAGAUGUGGAGGAAUACCGAUGGCGAAGGCAGCCCCCUGGGCCAAUACUGACGCUCAUGCACGAAAGCGUGGGGAGCAAAGCAGGAUUAGAUACCCUGGUAGUCCACGCCCUAAACGAUGUCAACUAGUUGUUGGGGAUUCAUUUCCUAGUAACGUAGCUAACGCGUGAAGUUGACCGCCUGGGGAGUACGGUCGCAAGAUUAAAAC